UACGAAGGGGGCUAGCGUUGUUCGGAUUUACUGGGCGUAAAGCGCACGUAGGCGGAUCUUUAAGUCGGGGGUGAAAUCCUGGAGCUCAACUCCAGAACUGCCUUCGAUACUGGCGAUCUUGAGUCCGGAAGAGGUGAGUGGAACUCCUAGUGUAGAGGUGGAAUUCGUAGAUAUUAGGAAGAACACCAGUGGCGAAGGCGACUUUCUGGUCUGUAACUGACACUGAGGCGCGAAAGCGUGGGGAGCAAACAGGG
rnacentral:rRNA from 1 species